UACGUAGGGUGCGAGCGUUGUCCGGAAUUAUUGGGCGUAAAGAGCUUGUAGGCGGUUUGUCGCGUCUGCCGUGAAAAUUCGAGGCUCAACCUCGAACUUGCGGUGGGUACGGGCAGACUAGAGUGUGGUAGGGGAGACUGGAAUUCCUGGUGUAGCGGUGAAAUGCGCAGAUAUCAGGAGGAACACCGAUGGCGAAGGCAGGUCUCUGGGCCACUACUGACGCUGAGAAGCGAAAGUCUGGGGAGCGAACAGG
rnacentral:rRNA from 1 species